AAAUUGAAGAGUUUGAUCAUGGCUCAGAUUGAACGCUGGCGGCAGGCCUAACACAUGCAAGUCGAACGGUAACAGGGAUCAGCUUGCUGAUUCGCUGACGAGUGGCGGACGGGUGAGUAAUGUCUGGGAAACUGCCUGAUGGAGGGGGAUAACUACUGGAAACGGUAGCUAAUACCGCAU
rnacentral:rRNA from 1 species